rnacentral:lncRNA from 1 species
GGUGACUACCGAUUAUGCUGUUCUUUCUGUACUAACUCAAGCUCAUUCUAGAUUACAUAAGUGUGUGACUUUGCUAAGUCCAUUAUGCAAAUAUACAUCUAUACAGUCUGCUCUUUCUAAUUAAUCAAGCUUAUUGGAUGAUAUGCGAACUGGAUGAAUAUUUGGUAUAGAAUUAAUACCUUGAAGUAUAAUUGUUGGUUGACUGUUGUUGCUGAGUUGAAUGAAUUGGAACUGAAAAUUGGUAUUGUUGUUUCAGUAAUUGCAGGUUAAAUCAUGGAAGAAGAUGGAGAAGUUUAAGCCAAAGCUUACCUCCUUUGAAGUUGGCAGUAGUAAAUGAAGUCUUUCUUCGAUAAUUGCAGGAUGGUGGAGAUGAUGAUUAAUAGAGGAUUGGCAAAGUAUAGUGGUUGGCAAAAUAUAGUGGUGGGCAAAGUAGUGGGGAGCAAAGUAGUGGAAGAUAAAAAAUAAUAAUAAUGUAGUGUAGGAUUAAUGAUGUAUUUUCUAUGUCUCGGUGAUUCUGUAACUGUAAUAAAAUACUGGCUUCGAUUCUGCUUGAUACUGUAUUUACAUAAAUCUCGAUUUCG